AAGAGUGUUUUUAAUUUAAAUUAAAUUCCUUUCGGUUGGAACCCCUUCAGUUACUUGUCGUCUCACAGUGCUUUCGCAUUUAUUAGCAACUUCUCUCUGUUCAACAAUUAUAGUUUCUUUCAAAUAAAAUCAAUUCACGUGAAUAUGUACCUUCAUGUUUUUGAAUAAUAGAUGCAGAAUAGUAGUGAUCUAAAAGAGCUUUACAACAACACGCAAAUGCCCAUAGCCGUUAAAAUUUCGAUGACAAAUCUCGGGUCGCGUUUUGGUGUGCGGCGGGACUAUGUUGUUUCUUGGUGCCUUAGCCAUCGGUAUGAUAACUGGUCUGCAGAAUGUGACUACAGACUUGUCGACCACGGCCAAUGACGUGACAGAAGCGGCUUCGACUACCGAGAUGGGUCUUCAGGAGACGACGAAGCUUACGAGCUCACAAGCUUCGGAUUUCGUCAAUAUGACAGUGCAGGAGCGGCCGACGAUGUGGGAUUUGUACCUGAACCAUUGUCCAAAGUGGCGGCCGAUCAACCACGUAUUUUUCCAAGUGGCGAAUAUUUUUUUUCUUCUAUCGUUCCUGGCGCCCCACACGUCUAGUGGCUUGAUAUGGCUGCGUGUGGCUCUGGUCCUUGGGUGCGCGUUUCUGGGACUCUGGGCAUGGAGUAUAGAAUGCUAUUUGGAUGCUGUGUUGUGGAACAGUGUGUUUGUUGUGAUAAAUUUUGUGUACUUUGCUGUGCAGUUUUAUUUGAUGAGACCUAUCAAGUUCCAUAAGGAUAUUGAAGAGGUGUACGUGGCGUUAUUCAAACCCCUUCGGGUGUCCAGACGGCAGUUCCGAAGAGUGCUCAUGUGCAUGAGGAACAUUCGCCACCUCAAGUGCCACGAGUUAUACGCGCACGAGAAAGUCACCAAAGUGGAUAGUUUGUCUCUGGUGCUGUCGGGCAAAUUGGUGGUGUCACAGAACCAGCGGGCGCUGCACAUAGUGUUCCCGCACCAUUUUCUGGAUUCCCCCGAGUGGUUCGGCGUGUCAACGGAUGAAUUCUUCCAGGUGUCAAUAAUGGCGAUGGAAGAGUCCCGAGUGCUGGUAUGGCAUCGGGACAAGCUGAAGUUGUCCAUAAUGUCGGAUGCGUUCCUUCAGGCUGUGUUCGAUCACAUAUUGGGCAGGGAUGUUGUCCAUAAACUCAUGCAGGUGAGCGAAACCAUGGGUGUGAGUAACGGCCACCUGCCUAAUAGUUAUGAGGAGGGCGAGGACAAGCCCAUGCUCGUGGUGAAGAAGGCUGGAGACGGGCCCGGCAUCACAGCGCUGCUCAACCGGCAGUUACAGGGAGAGCAAGCGCCGCUGCUGCGAGGCGCCCGCCCCGCGCUUCUGCUCGGCGACGACUGACAUCCCCACCACUCCCGCUCCCAAAACUACCUGCAUUCCUAAUUUAAACAUAGUCCUUCUCCGUUCUCAUGUUGUCCUGGUACUUUCAUUUGGAGUAUAGCCAUCUUAUGAUCUUGUUCUUUUGUUCAGUUUUUUUUUUAAUAAAACCGUUUUUGACUUCAAAGGCGAAUUGAAUGUGAGUUUAUAUCGAGCCGCUUUUCAAAUUGAAAUACCAAGUUGAACUUAAAUUAAUAUUUCAGGUUUACACCUGGUGUUUUCUAAAACUAGAGACUAAAUUUAAAAAAAAUAAUCAUUGACCAAAUAUAAGAUUGCAAUUACUCCAAUGAAAGUGAAGUACCCACAAAAAUUAACACCUGAAUUGCAAAUCUAUUUUAUAAUAAACAUAAAAUGUUGAUAUCCAUUUAUGUACAUGGGAUGUAAGGUAAUCUUUUUGUAUUGCUUGUGAUGUAUAUCUGUAGUGAGUUUUAAAAUUCUGUAUAGCUAACAGUAAUGUUUAUGUAAUAAUUAUUAUGACAGUAAAUCUAAAACAUAGUUGCUGAUAGUACAUACAUAUAUUGUAAAGCUUUAGAUCAUUAUAUAGCAUAUAAUAUUUUUGCUUUAAAUAUUAACAUCAUUCUCUCCUGUCAACCAUGACAUAUUUUUAUAAAUAUAAUGUGAUAUUAUAUGUUUUAUAAGUAUUAUUUUACCUAUUUAUUCAUCGCAUGUAUCAUAAAUCUGGGGUUACUAGGUAUGGAUAGUGUCAAAUUCAUAAUUUCUCAAGAAUAUCCCUCAUAAUAUUAUAACUAGUGACCCUUCUAACUUGCUAGUCUAUAUGUGCUAUUUUGCAUGUUUGGUAUACCUCUAACAAUUUAUUAUAACGUGAAUAUAUGCUAUCACUUUCUUGAAUUGUAAAUAAAAACAACCAAUAUAAAGAGUCGCUAGUGACUAUAGCAAGCAUAGUGACUAAAACUUUUUAAACGCCACCUGAAUUAUAAAACUAACUAAAAUUUAAAUUUGGAUGGAGUUUGGAUUGUAAUUGAGUUAGUUAUUCUUUUGUUGGGUGUACUGUACAUUUUUUAUCACUGCCAUUAUAGUUGAUACGUUAAUUUUGAAGUAAAAUUUUAGAACACAUAGUUUAUAUAGCAUAUAUUCAUUAUUCCUGUAAAAGUGUGCUUUAAUUGAUAUUCUAGUUACCUUUUAUGUAAUCGUAGUUCAUAAAAAAUUAUAAGAAUUAUAUAACUAACAUCCUUAUCGUCCUGUCCUUAAAUUCCAAAUUCCCAUAGCAUGUUUGGAAGAGCAACGUACAAAGCGACAGACCCAAACGCAUGGAGGUUAGGGAGAAUCGAGGAAACAGACCACGAGACGCCGGUGUGAGGACGCGCCCUGCACCUGGCGGUGCGCCCGCGCGCCACGCGCGAGCGCCGCUAGGGCACCUACACGCGGCCAGUACCUACGAAGUCGAGUGAUAGUGUUUAGCGAAUCGUGUGACGUCAAAUAAAGCCGUUACAGUUCAAAGUUGUUUGAAGACAGACGAUAGUGAGUGUUUAGUGAAUCACGUGACCUCUAAAUAAGUCGUUUAAAGACGAGUGUUUAGUGGAUUGAGUCAUAUGUAGUAGGGCUAAUUUAAAACCAGGAACAUCGUCAAAACGCCUAGGUUAUUCCUAGUCCCGAGCUUUGAUAAUAUUAAUGUAACCGGACUGAUGAUGUAGGGUCAAAUGCAAAUGUAUAAUUAAAGUUGCUAUGAAAAGUAUGUUAGUAUGGACUUUGCACUUGACUGUACAAUAAAGUACAAUCAGUUACAGUUUAAUUUAGAGUGAAUAUAAUCAGUGAACAAGAUGUCUUGUGAAUUUUAUCACAAAGUAAGUAAUAAACUGUUACGUGCAGUAAGUAAUUUACCAAACGAACAAAGUAAUAGAGUUCGAUUUAGCUUACCAGUGUUGACAUUGAUUUUUAAGGUACAAUUACAGUUUUAAUUUAGUGGUCGAAGUACAAUAACAAAUGAAUACAAGCGUCACAAUUUGUUUUCUUUUCGAGUCUAAUGCGUUUACUUUUUGGUUGUAUUUGAGAAUGUUAUUCCUAAUUGAAAAUAAGGUGGGAAAAUUUUUCAAUUCGAUAUAGCUGCAACUGUCCGCAUCCUAACAUCGGACAAAAAUUAGUCUCUGAAAGGUUUUAUUAACGCGAAAAUAAAAUCAGUAUGCGCUUUUCGUUAAAAUUUAAUACUCCUUGUCUGAUAGAACUUAAGAAGUUCCUAUCUAUUGAUUAAAGAGACCUUCCACACACUACCUGACAAUAUAUUUUUGUUAAGUGAAAGCAAGCGAAUCAUCUCAAUAAGUUGGGGCACAAAUGAAUCUGUUAAGAAAUAAUUAGGAUAGAUUAUUGAUUUAAUCCUUAGAAACUCGAUAGCUGAGGGAUUGACUGAAAACAAUCACCGACUCUAAAGUAAGAAUAGAAUACCUACUAAUAAAGUUCAAUUGGACUGAAUUGAUAUCCGUACAUAUUACUUUACUUGUAGAAUUAAGGUGGCAAUAGGGUUGUACGGAAUGAUGUUUGAUAAAUAAAUAAUUAAAGGAUUGAGAAAAUGAAUGUUAAAGAAUGAAUCACUUGCUCGCAUGGAAUAUAGUGUCCAAGGACUAAAAAAGGAAUAAAAAAGAAAAAAAAGAAAAUAUACUAUGAGCACUUAAAACUGUUUAAUUUUAAAUUUAUCAUUUAUGCCAUGAAUUCCCGUAUAUUGAUUGGACAAGUAGAUAUCAGUAGUUAUCGUUUCUAUAAAUACAGCGUUUGUAUGUCCCAGUUAAAGUAAACGAGAAAAAAAAUAUGAAUUAUAUAAAAUGUGUUCUAUAAAUAAAAAACAGAGGUCGAUAUAUACAUUAUGGAAUUCAUACAGAAUAUGCAUUUUUUCUUUUAUAUAUGAGAGUCGAUGCUAUGCAUUUGUUGCCAAAAUAUAUUAAAGUACAUGUUUGUGUGAAGUGGCUUUUUAAUUUUAAUGCUGCACAAAAUUUAAAAUAAAUAAACAUGUUUCAUGUAUUAUGUAUGUGAGGCCAUUAUAACCUUGUAGGUAUUUUUAAACGGAAUUUUUCAUCUUGAUAUAAUUUCUUAACACAUCUUAAUAUCAUGAAUCGAUCCAAGAGUUUCGCAUCGUAGGUACCUGAGUAAAGAAUAUAGACAUAAUAUAAAAAUAAUAUUUUGUAGGAAAAAAGUUGUUAUAGCACACAUGUACCAGUUAAAAACAAUAUGAAGUUACUAUUUUUUUUUUAGAGAAUUGAAUGGGUAUAAAUUGUUAAAAGGAUUUGAAAUAGCCAGAUGUACAGGUUUGUUUAAAAUUGAUGCCUAGUAAUGGAUAUUGAUAUUUAGAUAUUGACUUUGGACAUAGGCAUACUUCAAGCUACAGUUUUGGCACAAACUUAGCCUAGUUUGUGCCAAAACUGUAGCUUGAAGUAUACAAGAGUUGUAAGGAGAAGACGUCGAGUCUUCUGAGCAGGUACCUAACUAAAGGAGGCUACAAAAUAGCGGAUUGCCCCACAAUGGGGUUUUCCCAUCGCUUGGUAGUUUAAGAUGGAAGAAAGAGAGGCAAAAGCUUCAAUUAACAGUCAAGUCAAAUUUAUAAGACAUAUAUAAUAUGAAUCAAAUUAAGAAAACAGUUUUAACUACUCCAUUUAUAUCAAGGAAGUUUAACACAAUACAAUUGAGUCUCUAGAUGUGCAGCUAAAACUAAAUGUUGAGUAAGGGGAAAGAAUUACUAUAAUAACAAUGCUUUAUGGAUUUUUCAAUGAAGACAUUGUCAAUAAGUAUUGAUUAUAUUUUACAAUCACAUGUGUGUAAACUUGUAUAUUUAAUUCAGACAUCUCUCAUGUAACUUAAGAUUUCUUGUAAAUUAUUAAAUUCAAGAUCUAAAAGUUGUAUGACUGAGUAAAGAAUAUAUAUAUUAUUAUCUAAACCUAUAUAUAUAGUAUAUCUAUUAUAAAGUGUAAUGCGAAAAUAUGUAUUUUUGAUGUUGAAAUGUUUAUCAAGGGAUUUGACAUUCCUCAAUCAUUUCCAUUGUUUCAUACAAAUAUUGUAUUUUAAAUAAAACAAAUCUAGUUAUCAGAAAUGCACUGCCAAUGCAAAAUAAAUAUUGUAUAUCUCAUAUUGAUGGAAGCUUUAGUAUUGUGGCAUAUGAUUUGCGCGUUAAAUAUCGCGAAUAUUGUACAAAACGAUCUCAAUUUUUAUUUUUUCGUUUAGGAUGUGCUCACAUGAUUGAAUGUAUUCAUUGUUUCACUUGUUUUUUAAGACAAUUUAUGAUCAAAUAGUUUUCAUAUUGUUUGUUUGCACUUAUCAGUGUCAUGUGAAAUCACCUUUAGUUCUUUCUUUAAUGCAAUGGAGUAAUUGCUAAUCUGUGUUUUCAAUAUUUUUGUAAAAUAAGAAAGUUUGUAUUUUUUUUUUUCAUUUUAAAAUUGAUGACUGUGAUUUGUUUCAUAAGUUUUUUUUUUAAUGAAUAUUAUGUAAUUGCUAAUCUAUGUUACUUGCCUUGAUGCGUGUUUUAUGGAGCACCAGGGGUGUUUAGAAUGCCUUAACGAAUUGCCAUUUGUGAUGAUUGUAAAUUAUGAAUGUAUGAAUAAUAUUGAUCACUGUAGUACAUGUUGACAGAUAGAUUAAAUAAAUAAAGUAACUA